rnacentral:lncRNA from 1 species
CCACGUUCCACCUGAACACUGUGCCUUCACAAUUACGUUUACAGCCAUUUAUUCGUCCGUUGACCCAGGGAACACGGAAAAGGUCAGACUCGGUCCCCACUGUGAAAGCCUAAUUAUUUAUCCCACAAAGGAGGCGGACCUGGAAACAAAGGGGAAACAGCCUGGUAGUUUUCUCUGCUAUUAGUGCCCCCAUUUUACAUGGAGGAGAUGGGGUCCCAGAGAAGUCUAGUGAUUUGCCCAAGGCCACACAGCUCAGGAUGGGGGAGCGGAUCCAAAGCCCAGACAUCUGCCACUAAGGCCGAGGUUCCUUCCCCCCACCUCGCCCUGCCCCACAGAACAUGGGAGAGGAGGUAGGAAAGGAAGAGGGCAGCAUAGGCUGGAGGCAUCAGGGAGGGCUUCCUGGAGGAGGGGGACCCCAGACUGGGCCCUGAAGGACAGACCAGAGAAGAGCACAUGGGGGGAUGAAGCAGCUCCUAGUUUGCUGCCCCCAGUUCUUGAGGCCUCUGGGUCUGGAAUUCUCCAUGAGGAGGUUCAAGGUCUUCCUGGAGCAGGUGCCCCAGGAACCUCUCCCCAGAGCAGGUGGAGUUGAGUCCCUCCCAGGUUGGAGGCGGCUCCCAGGUAGGGAGUGGUGGGCAGGGCGGAGCAGGAGCUCCUGGGCACCUCUGUUCUCUUGGCUUCUGUCCCAGGUGCUGCUGAACGGGAGCGAGGAGGGCAGCGUCCUUGCCUGUCUGCAGUGCGGGGACAGUGGUCUCACCCACGUCCCAAGGAGGCCAUCAGACCACGUUCCGUCAGCGCGUCAGCCCCACACACUGUGCGCCCAAUCCCGCAGCGUCUCCUCGCGGGACACGUGCACCGCCUGGGGCCCUGUCAUUUCCCUUGCAAAUCUCCCCGAGGGAGCAGCAUCCCAGGGAGGAAGCCUCCCUGGACCCAGAACAUUCCAGCGCUCGCAGCAGAAGCUCAGGAAUACCGAAUGGGAGGAAGAAGAGGGGAACUAAGGGACCUCGCUUCAGAGACACCAAUGGAACCGGAGGCAGAGAAGCCAGUGGGAAAUGAGCAGGGUGUGGAGUGAGGUCAUCAGAAAAGAUUCAACCUUGGGGCGCCUGGGUGGCGCAGUCGGUUAAGCGUCCGACUUCAGCCAGGUCACGAUCUCACGGUCCGUGAGUUCGAGCCCCGCGUCGGGCUCUGGGCUGAUGGCUCAGAGCUGGAGCCUGUUUCCGAUUCUGUGUCUCCCUCUCUCUCUGCCCCUCCCCCAUUCAUGCUCUGUCUCUCUCUGUCCCAAAAAUAAAUAAACGUUGAAAAAAUUUAAAAAAAAAAAA